rnacentral:rRNA from 1 species
CCUACGGGAGGCUGCAGUAAGGAAUAUUGGUCAAUGGACGCAAGUCUGAACCAGCCAUGCCGCGUGGAGGAUGAAGGUCCUCUGGAUUGUAAACUUCUUUUAUUUGGGAAGAAACUCCCGAUUUCCAUCGGGAUUGACGGUCCCAGAUGAAUAAGCACCGGCUAACUCCGUGCCAGCAGCCGCGGUAAUACGGAGGGUGCAAGCGUUAGCCGUAUACAGUGGGCGUAGAGGGUGCGUUGAUGGGCAGGUGAAAGCUCCGUGCUUAACCCGGAAACUGCCAUUGAUACUAUUUGUCUUGAAUACUCUGGAGGUGAGCGGAAUAUGUCAUGUAGCGGUGAAAUGCUUAGAUAUGACAUAGAACACCCAUUGCGAAGGCAGCUCACUACGGAAAUAUUGACGCUGAGGCACGAAAGCGUGGGGAUCAAACAGGAUUAGAUACCCUAGUAGUC